rnacentral:rRNA from 1 species
GACGGAGGAUGCAAGUGUUAUCCGGAAUCACUGGGCGUAAAGCGUCUGUAGGUGGUCAAAUAAGUCAACUGUUAAAUCUUGAGGCUCAACCUCAAAAUCGCAGUCGAAACUAUUAGACUAGAGUAUAGUAGGGGUAAAGGGAAUUUCCAGUGGAGCGGUGAAAUGCGUAGAGAUUGGAAAGAACACCGAUGGCGAAGGCACUUUACUGGGCUAUUACUAACACUCAGAGACGAAAGCUAGGGUAGCAAACGGG